AUCGUGGAAAAUUUGUAUUUAUUUGUAUUUUAUAAAAGCUUUUAAACAAGAUAUUAUAAUACAUGUGAUGCACGUCUAUUACUUGGCGAGAAUUCAUCUGUAAACGUACAUUUUACAUCAAACAAUUCAUUGUUGGAUCAAAUUCGGUUGCAUAUAUAAAAUCAAUUUGUAAAAUUGUUUAUAAUGUUGUUCUUGUGGCUCAUUUGUUUUCAGAAACGGACGUAAAAAUCACCAGAGGUAUGCUUGUGAUUUUAGCAAUUUGGUACUUAGUUCUACAUUUAUAGAAAAGAGUCAGGGAUCAUGACUGGAUGACAUCAAAACAAUGAAAAGAUAAUGGAAUAUUCUGAUCAGUGGAUCAUGACUGGAUGGCAUGGAGAAUAGUGGGAUUUUCGAAAACAAUGAAAAGACAAUGGAAUAUUCCGGUCACCGAAUCGUAACUGGACAGCAUCAGUGGAGAACAGUGGGAUUUUCAAAUCAAUGAAAAGACAAUAGAGCAUUCCAGUCACUGGGGCCUGAGUGGAUGACACUGCUGUUAUGAGAAAUGUUAUAUGAUGCCAUAAUUAACAUUGUUUUUGUUUAUCAUAUGUAGUUGCUGACAAGUUGUCGGAAACAGUACAUUUGAUGUUAAAUGAUCCGUCAACGGGUCUCAAUUCAAGAACACGUGAAACGAUCUGUGC